rnacentral:lncRNA from 10 species
AUGCUUGAGCCCACGGGCCCAACUCCUGAGAUCCCAUUCGGAAGCUGCUGAUCACCAGUUUCAAGUGUUUCUGUUUAUUGGGAGACUGCCUUCCUCUGGCACUGGCAGUGACCAAUUAUUAUUUUAGAGAGACUGUUAACGGCCUGACCAUCACCUGAUGAAUAUCAGGAAUGUGGCCUGACAUUCCUGGUACACGGAGCGCCUUCUUUUCGUUUAGAGCAUUGGUGUCUCCACAUUAGAAGCAUCCUAUGUAGCUGUUCUGCUUGCAGCUGCCCAAGUCUGCCUGGGCCUCCUGCAUGAGGUCAUGAGUCUUAAUAAAGCCACUGACCCACACAUUUGGAAUCGUACUGACUUUUCACAACUAACAGCCAACACAUUGCCAAGAAGCAAUUCAAUUGUUGAGGAUAUCACAUCAUGCCAGGGAAAGAGAGAUGGAAUUCAGAAAGCCUGGGAUAUUGCAGUUCAGAUAAAUUGCACUUGGUCAACGGAAAUGUCCUAAGGGCACUGCAGCUGCAGCUGGAGAAUGAAGAAGACAUAAAAUUAGGGCUUUUGUCACUGUCGCUUGAUUUCAUUAAAGGG